rnacentral:rRNA from 1 species
UACGGGGGGAGCAAGCGUUGUUCGGAUUUACUGGGCGUAAAGGGCGUGUAGGCGGCCACCGCAGGUCAGUUGUGAAAUCUCCGGGCUUAACCCGGAAAGGUCAACUGAUACUGCGGGGCUAGAGUGCAGAAGGGGCAACUGGAAUUCUCGGUGUAGCGGUGAAAUGCGUAGAUAUCGAGAGGAACACCUGCGGCGAAGGCGGGUUGCUGGGCUGACACUGACGCUGAACUGCGAAAGCUAGGGGAGCGAACGGG